rnacentral:lncRNA from 1 species
CCCUGUCUCAAAAAACCAAAAAAAAAAAGAAAAAAAACCCAAAGAUUGAUUAUAUAUGGGAUUAUACUAUGCUGCUGCUAGCAUAUGAUGGAUACUGAAUAUAGUAGUAAUAGGGAGAAGGAUCUUGCAGAUGGUAGGGUUUUAGAAAUGUAUCAGAUGGGAGACCAGUGUAUGGAUUAAUGUGGUGUUCACUUGUUUUCAACAUCGCAUAGCCAGUCAAGUUAAGGCAGGAGCUCAGUUAUUACUCAUAUGGAGUUCUUGGUGAAUGAAUGAUGUCUAGGCUUUUAAUUUUAGUAACUUGUUCUAGAGUUCAGCUCUGGCAUCGGCAAAAAUUUAAGGUCUUGUCACAAUUUUCCUGUCUUUUGCUUGGAGUAGUUUGGAAGGUAUUGAAGUUGUACUGUAAGUCAUAGGAGUUAAUACAAUCUAUUCUGGUUUUUGCAGAAAUGUGAAUCCUCAGAUGGAAUGAAAGGCCUGCACCAUAGACAUCGAAGCAUUUACACCCCGCUUGAAGAGUUUGAAAUGGACUUUACCACUGAGAAAUCAAGAUGGCAGCCCAUUAUGGGGAAUUGAGGAAAAUGGAUUAAUGCAAGAAUGCUGUAAUAUUAUACAACCAACACAGGAUUCUUUUAAUGUGGAUUCCAUGAAAUGAAUGAUUCUUACCCAACACAAAUGGACAGUGGAAUUUACUUCCUAAAGACUUGUUACAUGUCAUGUACAUUUUUGACAUCUGGAGAAGACUCUACAAUUCUACAAAUGGUAGUUUGUAUUCCUGGAA